GACGAACGCUGGCGGCGUGCUUAACACAUGCAAGUCGAACGGAAAGGCCCUGCUUUUGUGGGGUGCUCGAGUGGCGAACGGGUGAGUAACACGUGAGUAACCUGCCCUUGACUUUGGGAUAACUUCAGGAAACUGGGGCUAAUACCGGAUAGGAGCUCCUGCUGCAUGGUGGGGGUUGGAAAGUUUCGGCGGUUGGGGAUGGACUCGCGGCUUAUCAGCUUGUUGGUGGGGUAGUGGCUUACCAAGGCUUUGACGGGUAGCCGGCCUGAGAGGGUGACCGGCCACAUGGGGACUGAGAUACGGCCCAGACUCCUACGGGAGGCAGCAGUGGGGAAUAUUGCACAAUGGGCGGAAGCCUGAUGCAGCAACGCCGCGUGCGGGAUGAAGGCCUUCGGGUUGUAAACCGCUGUCGCCUGUGACGAAGCGUGAGUGACGGUAAUGGGUAAAGAAGCACCGGCUAACUACGUG
rnacentral:rRNA from 1 species